rnacentral:rRNA from 1 species
AUUGAACGCUGGCGGCAUGCCUUACACAUGCAAGUCGAACGGUAACAGGUCUUCGGAUGCUGACGAGUGGCGAACGGGUGAGUAAUACAUCGGAACGUGCCUAGUAGUGGGGGAUAACUACUCGAAAGAGUGGCUAAUACCGCAUGAGAUCUACGGAUGAAAGCAGGGGAUCGCAAGACCUUGUGCUACUAGAGCGGCCGAUGGCAGAUUAGGUAGUUGGUGGGAUAAAAGCUUACCAAGCCGACGAUCUGUAGCUGGUCUGAGAGGACGAUCAGCCACACUGGGACCGAGACACGGCCUAGACUCCUACGGGAGGCAGCAGUGGGGAAUUUUGGACAAUGGGCGCAAGCCUGAUUCAGCAAUGCCGCGUGCAGGAUGAAGGCCUUCGGGUUGUAAACUGCUUUUGUACGGAACGAAAAGCCCUGGGUUAAUACCCUGGGGUCAUGACGGUACCGUAAGAAUAAGCACCGGCUAACUACGUGCCAGCCGCCGCCGUAA